rnacentral:rRNA from 1 species
CGUGUCGUGAGAUGUCGGGUUAAGUCCCAUAACGAGCGAAACCCUUACCCUUAGUUGCAACCCGAAAGGGGCACUCUAGGGGGACUGCCGGUGUCAAACCGGAGGAAGGUGGGGAUGACGUCAAGUCCUCAUGGCCUUUAUGUCCAUGGCUGCUCACGUGCUACAAUGGCUGGGACGGAGGGACGCUACUACGCGAGUACGAGCCGACCCCCGAAAGCACGCCCCAAUUCAGAUCGCAUGCUGCAACCCGCCUGCUUGAAGCCGGAAUCGCUAGUAAUCGCGUGUCAGCAACACCGUGGUGACUGUGUUCCUGAGCCUU